CUGGUUGAUCCUGCCAGUAGUCAUAUGCUUGUCUCAAAGACUAAGCCAUGCAUGUCUAAGUAUAAAUGAUAUACAGUGAAACUGCGAAUGGCUCAUUAAAACAGUUAUAGUUUAUUUGGUAAUCGAAUUUACAUGGAUAACCGUGGUAAUUCUAGAGCUAAUACAUGCUGUAAAGCCCGACUUCACGGAAGGGCCGUAUUUAUUAGAUAACAGACCAAUAUUCCUCGUGUCUAUUGUGGUGAAUCAUAGUAACUAAUCGGAUCGCAUGGGCUAGUCCCGCGACAAACCAUUCAAGUUUCUGCCCCAUCAGCUUUCGAUGGUAGUGUAUUGGACUACCAUGGCUUUUACGGGUAACGGAGGAUUAGGGUUCGAUUCCGGAGAGGGAGCCUGAGAAAUGGCUACCACAUCUAAGGAAGGCAGCAGGCGCGUAAAUUACCCAAUCCUGACACAGGGAGGUAGUGACAAUAAAUAACAAUGCUCUGGCUCUUCGAGUCGGGCAAUUGGAAUGAGAACAAUUUAAAUCCCUUAACGAGGAUCAAUUGGAGGGCAAGUCUGGUUGAUCCUGCCAGGAGGGCAAGUCUGGUUGAUCCUGCCAGGAGGGCAAGUCUGGUUGAUCC
rnacentral:rRNA from 1 species